rnacentral:rRNA from 1 species
GACGAACGCUGGCGGCGUGCUUAACACAUGCAAGUCGAACGAGAGCGUAGAGAAAGCUUGCUUUUUCUACAAUCUAGUGGCAAACGGGUGAGUAACGCGUAAACAACCUGCCCUACGGAUGGGGACAACAGCUGGAAACGGCUGCUAAUACCGAAUACGUUCCGCAAGUCGCAUGACUAUCGGAAGAAAGGAUGGCCUCUAUUUAUAAGCUAUCGCCGGAGGAGGGGUUUGCGUCUGAUUAGCUAGUUGGAGGGGUAACGGCCCACCAAGGCGACGAUCAGUAGCCGGUCUGAGAGGAUGAACGGCCACAUUGGAACUGAGACACGGUCCAGACUCCUACGGGAGGCAGCAGUGGGGAAUCUUCCGCAAUGGGCGAAAGCCUGACGGAGCAACGCCGCGUGAGUGAAGACGGCCUUCGGGUUGUAAAGCUCUGUUAUACGGGACGAAUAAUCUUGUGGUUAAUACCCAUGAGAAGUGACGGUACCGUAAGAGAAAGCCACGGCUAACUACGUG